rnacentral:rRNA from 1 species
GGACGAACGCUGGCGGCAUGCCUAACACAUGCAAGUCGAGGGGCUCUUCGGAGUCACUGGCGCACGGGUGAGUAACACGUAGGUCAUCUACCCCUAUCACAGACAUAACCCCGGGAAACCGGGGCUAAUAUCUGAUGAGGUCGCGAGAUCAAAGCUUCGGCGGAUAGGGAUGAGCCUGCGGCUGAUUAGCUAGUUGGUGAGGUAAUGGCUCACCAAGGCGACGAUCAGUAGCUGGUCUGAGAGGACGAACAGCCACACUGGAACUGAGACACGGUCCAGACUCCUACGGGAGGCAGCAGUGAGGAAUAUUGGUCAAUGGGAGCAAUCCUGAACCAGCAAUGCCGCGUGUGGGAUGAAGGCGCUUCGCGUCGUAAACCACUGUCGGACGGGACGAAAAGAGCUAUGAAGCUCCGAGACGGUACCGUCAAAGGAAGGAUCGGCUAACUACGUGCCAGCAGCCGCGGUAAUACGUAGGAUCCAAGCGUUGUCCGGAUUUACUGGGUAUAAAGGGUGCGUAGGCGGUCUUGUGCGUCAGAGGUGAAAUAUCCGGGCUUAACCCGGAGGGUGCCUUUGAUACGGCAGGACUUGAGUACGAGAGAGGAUGAUGGAAUUCCUGGUGUAGCGGUGAAAUGCGUAGAUAUCAGGAGGAACACCGGUGGCGAAGGCGGUCAUCUGGCUCGUAACUGACGCUGAGGCACGAAAGCGUGGGGAUCAAACAGGAUUAGAUACCCUGGUAGUCCACGCCCUAAACGAUGUAUGCUUGGUGUUGGGUCCGCAAGGACUCAGUGCCGUAGGAAAUCUGAUAAGCAUACCACCUGGGGAGUACGAUCGCAAGGGUGAAACUCAAAU